UACGUAGGAUGCAAGCGUUGUCCGGAUUUAUUGGGUUUAAAGGGUGCGUAGGCGGCCUCUGAGGUUAGUGGUGAAAACGUUCGGCUUAACCGGAUACCCGCCAUUGAUACUGAUAGACCUGAGUGCGACAGAGGGUGUUGGAAUGUGUGGUGUAGCGGUGAAAUGCUUAGAUAUCACGCAGAACACCAAUUGCGAAGGCAGAUGCCUAUGUCGUAACUGACGCUGAGGCACGAAAGCGUGGGGAGCAAACAGG
rnacentral:rRNA from 1 species